AAAAACGCUGGCUCGAGCUGCGUUGCUAGGGCCAUCAAAGCGGCCAGUCACAGCCAUUCAACGAAUACAAUGCGGACAGCGCUGACGGCGGUGGUCACAACAACAAUAACAGAGGCCAUGACAACGACAAAUCGGACAACAUAAGCCAUAGAUCAUCUCCUACGCUGUGUCGGACCGCACUGGAACGAGGAUAGAAUGGAUCUGAGAUCAGCCGCUGUGUUGUGGGCAGCAGGUAGCAAGCAAGCUUGUAUGCCCCGCUGAGAGAGACUCUGAACGUUAAACUUAACUCGGUAACCUGGGUAACGGUAGCAGGCAGGCGCGAGGAGUUCGACAUCGGCAAAGUGAAACGAAGGCGCCUGCCAGGUGUGGAAUCUUACAGGCGGUACUGAAACCCCCAAUGAAACUGCCGUCUUUGCAACCCCCUUCAAAAUCGAGAGAUCGUAAAGCAUUGCCGUCUCCAACAGCGAUCGGGCGUGCCACUUGCACCGCUGCCUCAACCGUUAUCCGUGCCUUACUCACAACGCAGAACUCACUCGGAUCUGUAGCCAACUACUGCGUCGGAUCGAACCUUGGGUUCGAUGCUUCCGUUGAUUUGCUUCCUCCAACUGCACCACAGACUGACAGAUUGCCGAGUAGACCGGAAGUGCUGGACUAAGUCUGAACUCGUCGUUAUCGUCGUAAGUGUUAUUAAUCAUUUAUAGGUUUAGACACUUCAGAUGGCAAGACAUGUGUAAAAGGUGGGCCCAUA